UCGAAUGCCGUUCGGAACCGGAUCUUUUCGUCGUUGU
rnacentral:sRNA from 1 species